AGUCGAGCGCGAAAACACUUCGGUGUGAGUAAAGCGGCGGACGGGUGAGUAACGCGUAGGAAUCUACCUAGUAGUGGGGGACAACUCGGGGAAACUCGAGCUAAUACCGCAUACGCCCUACGGGGGAAAGCGGGGGACCUUCGGGCCUCGUGCUAUUAGAUGAGCCUGCGUUGGAUUAGCUAGUUGGUGGGGUAAAAGCCUACCAAGGCGACGAUCCAUAGCUGGUCUGAGAGGAUGAUCAGCCACACCGGGACUGAGACACGGCCCGGACUCCUACGGGAGGCAGCAGUGGGGAAUAUUGCGCAAUGGGCGAAAGCCUGACGCAGCCAUGCCGCGUGUGUGAAGAAGGCCUUCGGGUUGUAAAGCACUUUCAAUUGGGAGGAAAGGUUCACGACUAAUACUUGUGAGCUGUGACGUUACCUUUAGAAGAAGCACCGGCUAACUCCGUGCCAGCAGCCGCGGUAAUACGGAGGGUGCGAGCGUUAAUCGGAAUUACUGGGCGUAAAGCGCGCGUAGGUGGUUUGUUAAGUCGGAUGUGAAAGCCCCGGGCUCAACCUGGGAACUGCAUCCGAUACUGGCAGACUAGAGUGCGGGAGAGGGAGGUAGAAUUCCAGGUGUAGCGGUGAAAUGCGUAGAUAUCUGGAGGAACAUCAGUGGCGAAGGCGGCUCCCUGGCCAAAGACUGACGCUCAUGUGCGAAAGUGUGGGUAGCGAACAGGAUUAGAUACCCUGGUAGUCCACACCGUAAACGCUGUCUACUAGCUGUUUGUGAAUUUAAUUCGUGAGUAGCGAAGCUAACGCGCUAAGUAGACCGCCUGGGGAGUACGGCCGCAAGGUUAAAACUCAAUGAAUUGACGGGGGCCCGCACAAGCGGUGAGCAUGUGGUUUAAUUCGAUGCAACGCGAAGACCUUACCUACACUUGACAUGCAGAGACUUCCAGAGAUGGAAUGUGCUUCGGACUCUGACACAGGUGCUGCAUGCUGUCGUCAGCUCGUGCGUGAGAUGUGGUAGUCCCGCACGAGCGCAACCUUUGUCUAGUGCAGCAUUAGUGAAUCUAAGGGACUGCGUGACAACCGAGAAGUG
rnacentral:rRNA from 1 species